AUAGAUUGAACUCAGAAUAUAUUUCUUCGACAGUUCUUGAAUUAUUUGUCGAGGAUCAAUCAAAAACAAUCCAUCUCUCUGUAGCUGGUUAAAAAAUAUAAGGGUAACUAGUCAUGAGAAUCUUCGACUUGAGGUAUAUUAUUUUGAUGCUAAUUAACAUCUUCAAAUCCACUUCUUCUGAUUGGGAUCCUUUCCAUUUAU
rnacentral:misc_RNA from 1 species